GAUCUUCCAUCCAGGAUAGUCCUGGAAAUGAUCUUGAUGCUAUCUGUUCCUCGUUACAGCAGACCUGCUCAACUUCAGCAGCUAGAAGGAGGAUUGUCUUUCACCAGCUGCAGGAGCCUGUUCCCACUACAAGCCUGGUGGAGUCUUCGGAGCAGAUGUGACUGUCCUACUUGUAUAGAGAAGAGAAACUGAGGCUCAGAAGAGAUGCCUGGCUGAGUUUAAUAGGACUGCAACAACAAUUUUGCCUUUCUACUUUCUGGUACAGUGGUCUUUCCUUUGCCAUCAUGCCUCAGCAUAUCCAUGUUAGUAAAUUCUCCCAGUUGGGGAAAAGCUUGGCAGCAAUGAAAGUUAAUGUGAUGAAUCAUUUAGAUGGACAGAUUGGAAAAAUGUUGUUCCUUUUGCAUGUGAUGUUCUUGCCAGAAAUCAAGUAGGUGGAGUUUUUGAAGCGUGAUCAGUUAGAUAAGUAUGGUGGUUUUAAAUAAUCAAGCAUGGAGCCAUACCGGUUAUGUUUAAUUUAUAACAAAAUCAGACAAUUCAGGCAUGAUGUUGAACUCAUUGAGCUUGGCUCACUACUACAUUUCUCUCACCAAAAGCAAUGACUAUAAAGAGUUACAAAUACCAUGACCUUAUAUCAUAAAGCAUAAAUUAUUCCAGGAAGUUUUCCAUUUAAGUCAACUUCUCAAAAUCUUAGGAGAAAACUACCAAUAUUCAGUUCAAACCCCAGAGGCUUAAGGAAAAAUAUUAAUGUUGAAAUAGCAAGUAAGUGGUAGUAUCCUCGCUGUAUGCACAAUUGCAUCUGCUCGGGGGUUAGUCUUUCUUUAGCUCCUGUCUACAACUCACACCAGUCUCCAUAAAAGAAAUGAGGUCUCACUGAUACCAUCUAGCUUAAUGAGAUAAAAAUCCUGGUGAUCUCUGCAAGAAAAUAAAACUAAGAUAAACUAGUAUCUGCUACUGAUAAAUAUUUAACAGAUGUGGUCCAAAUCCCUCUGCCAGCUGGAGGAAGGAAAAAAGUUCUAUUUUACUGCUUGGAUAUAAUUAUUGGCCACAUUUCUCCAAGCAAAGACAGUGACAUUGGCUCACUCCCCAGGAGAACUUUCUUCUGAUCUUGGCACUAGGAUUUGCUUUUCUUUAACAGAUUGCAGCAAUAUACCCUUCAUUUGACCCAGUUUAUUCAUUCAAAAGAUACCUGGAGCCAAAACCAUGUAUGAGAAAUAGCAAAGGAAGAGGCAGGCACAAGCUGUGUUUAUAUACCCACCAAAGGACUACAGCAAAACACAUAUAUUCUAGUCAGCUCUGAGUGCACCUGUCUGUGUCAACAGUAGACCAGCGUGGUCUGGCAGAUGACCAUAUGACCCAGCUGAUUCACUCCGGAGUUAGAGGAACUUUUCCCAGACCCUGAAAGUCACCUUUUUAGACAACUUCGCAAACAGCCAUCCUUGUUCACGGUAUCAUGCCCCUUGUCACUGCUAAACAGACCGUUUGCAAAGAAAUUUCCUAAACAUCACCACUGAGGCUCCUUCCAGCAAUGACUCUGGUCCAUCAUUGGGAUUGCUGAGCAGCUGUUUCAUAACAUGAACAAGGAUGUUUUAACCAUGUUUCUUGACCUGGCCAUUUGGAUCCCAAGGAUGUUUUGGUCCAAGAAUAAAUUCCAGAGCUUAGGUAGGUUACAUACCACAACUAUAUUCAUUUCCUACUUCUAUUCUUUCUCUGUGCAAUCCUUUUCCUAGCACUGUAACUGAAAGUAUUUUUCUAAAACAUUAAUGUGAUCAUACUAUGUCUCUGCUGAAAAGCCAUCAAUCACUAUCUACCUAUUACUGACAAAAACAUGACAUUCUGAUCCCACCUGAUCUGCUCUUUCUCAUCAACAACUCUUCUCCUUAUGUAAUUUCUCACCUGGUGACCAACCACACCCUGCAUGUGCUAUACAUUCAUUUAUGCUUUUUCACCUGCUCAAGGCCCCCAGAAUUAUUUUCAAGUAUUAUUUUUCCCAACACAAAGCAUCAGUCGAUACCUGUAGUAAGUCUGAAGCAUCUCAGAAGCAUUUAUUGACAACCCAGUCUUCUACUCUCCUCUGCCUCCAAACACACAGCACAUACAUUUUGUCCCAAACAUUUGUAGGCCAUCAUUGUCUUUUGCCUGGCAUUUCUUUACUAAUUAAUAUAUAUUUUUAUUCAUGUGUGUAUAUUUAUCUCACCAAUAUUUGGGAGCAGAGCCUAUGUGUUAUUUUAGUUAUACAGGUUGUUGGGUGAUAUGGCUGUGAACCUGAUAUGCUAUAGAUUAUAAGGGGAGGUGGAACCUGUCACACUUCCUCUUCCUCCAUCACUGGUUGUCUGUCUCAAAGCUCACCGAAGAAGACAGGAAAACUUGUCAGAUGGGGAAGGAUGUGUCAAGAGCAUGCACACAGAUUUACUCUUCAGCUAGAAGCUCCAAUUCCUAGAUGAUCUGAAUCCAACUCAGAGUGCUUGCACCUGUUUCCUGCCACACAGCUAGAGCUGGUGAGUCUGAUUUAAGUAAUUCUACAGGAAGACAAGGCUUACAUAAGAAUAAGUAGUCGAGUAGACAGAUAUUUCCUCCAUGGAAUCUGCCUUGUUCAGAAACAAGUUUAAUCAGUUACUGACUUAUAGUAAGAAUGUGAAUGUCAUAAUUUUAUUAAAAGUUUUUAUAAAUAAUUUCAUUGUAAUUUAAGCAUCGAUGAAAA
ensembl:lncRNA novel transcript